rnacentral:rRNA from 1 species
ACCUCCUUCGGGAGGGGAUUAGUGGCGAACGGGUGAGUAACACGUGGGCAAUCUGCCCUUCACUCUGGGACAAGCCCUGGAAACGGGGUCUAAUACCGGAUACGAGCCUCCAAGGCAUCUUGGAGGUUGGAAAGCUCCGGCGGUGAAGGAUGAGCCCGCGGCCUAUCAGCUUGUUGGUGAGGUAAUGGCUCACCAAGGCGACGACGGGUAGCCGGCCUGAGAGGGCGACCGGCCACACUGGGACUGAGACACGGCCCAGACUCCUACGGGAGGCAGCAGUGGGGAAUAUUGCACAAUGGGCGAAAGCCUGAUGCAGCGACGCCGCGUGAGGGAUGACGGCCUUCGGGUUGUAAACCUCUUUCAGCAGGGAAGAAGCGAAAGUGACGGUACCUGCAGAAGAAGCGCCGGCUAACUACGUGCCAGCAGCCGCGGUAAUACGUAGGGCGCAAGCGUUGUCCGGAAUUAUUGGGCGUAAAGAGCUCGUAGGCGGCUUGUCACGUCGGGUGUGAAAGCCCGGGGCUUAACCCCGGGUCUGCAUUCGAUACGGGCUAGCUAGAGUGUGGUAGGGGAGAUCGGAAUUCCUGGUGUAGCGGUGAAAUGCGCAGAUAUCAGGAGGAACACCGGUGGCGAAGGCGGAUCUCUGGGCCAUUACUGACGCUGAGGAGCGAAAGCGUGGGGAGCGAACAGGAUUAGAUACCCUGGUAGUCCACGCCGUAAACGGUGGGAACUAGGUGUUGGCGACAUUCCACGU